CUGCUGCCUUCCGUAGGAGUUUGGGCCGUGUCUCAGUCCCAAUGUGGCCGGCCACCCUCUCAGGUCGGCUACUGAUCGUCGCCUUGGUGGGCCGUUACCCCGCCAACCAGCUAAUCAGACGCGGGUCCAUCUCAUACCACCUCGGUUUUUCACACUGGACCAUGCAGUCCCGUGCGCUUAUGCGGUAUUAGCAGUCAUUUCUAACUGUUAUCCCCCUGUAUGAGGCAGGUUACCCACGCGUUACUCACCCGUCCGCCG
rnacentral:rRNA from 1 species